GGAGCACGAAGGUUGGCUAAUCCUGGUCGGACAUCAGGAGGUUAGUGCAAUGGCAUAAGCCAGCUUGACUGCGAGCGUGACGGCGCGAGCAGGUGCGAAAGCAGGUCAUAGUGAUCCGGUGGUUCUGAAUGGAAGGGCCAUCGCUCAACGGAUAAAAGGUACUCCGGGGAUAACAGGCUGAUACCGCCCAAGAGUUCAUAUCGACGGCGGUGUUUGGCACCUCGAUGUCGGCUCAUCACAUCCUGGGGCUGAAGUAGGUCCCAAGGGUAUGGCUGUUCGCCAUUUAAAGUGGUACGCGAGCUGGGUUUAGAACGUCGUGAGACAGUUCGGUCCCUA
rnacentral:rRNA from 1 species